UUUCCGUUGGUGAACCAGCGGAAGGAUCAUUACAGAGAUCAUGCCCUCACGGGUAGACCUCCCACCCUGUUUUAUUUACUUUGUUGCUUUGGCGGCCCCGUCGCAAGACAACCGGCUCCGGCUGGUCAGCGGCCGCCAGAGGAAUCAAAACUCUUAUUAUUAUUGUCGUCUGAGUACUAUAUAAUAGUUAAAACUUUCAACAACGGAUCUCUUGGUUCUGGCUUCGAUGAAGAACGCAGC
rnacentral:misc_RNA from 1 species